ensembl:lncRNA
AGCAGAAAUGCUAAGUCAAGGCCUGAACCAGUGAUUGAGCACCUGGUGGGAAGGCAGGGCCAACCCAGGGGAGCUCAGGUGCAAGCAGUGAACUUGAGUGACUGGAAGGGGUGGAGCCAGGAUCCACCCUUUCCCAUGCCUCAUUUAAGGGUUGGCAGUAGACAUGAGGGUAUUUUGCUGAAGAUUUCUGCCUACCUGAGGACCUUCUGGGCUAUCUGAAGCAGUGGAAUUGUUUCACAAACCUGGUGAAAGUUAUGGAUUGGAAAGAGAUCUACCCUGGUGAGAUUUGUGCCAUUGUGUCAGGAAGCCUCUUGUCCAAUCUGGUGCAAAACCUGAGCAAGCUCUGGGGCAGUUUGAGGUUCAGCAGCAAAGAUCAUCCGUUCCUCUGCUCAGGACAGGAUCAGAAAUUGUGUUGACCCUGACAGACACACAAAGGAGAGCAGGGUUUGGCAAAUACUGGUCUCUACCUGUAAUACUACCGGUCUUCUAAAGUGCUUGGAGAUAGAUGCAUUCUAGAAGUCAGCCUACAUAGCGCAGCCAGUAUUUGCGGUGCUCCUUGCUUUAGGCUUUGUGUUUGGUAGGUGCUUCGACUUGGCCCGUGGGCUGAACUUUCUGCUGUGCUAGACCCUGAUGGAUGGAGAGAAGCUGAGGUAGGCACUGAACAGAUAUCAGCUGGGUCCUCUCCAGGGCUCUGCUGACCUCCAGGUUACCUUGUCUUAGAUUUAAAAGGUCCCCCUUCCUUAUGUGAUGAGCAGCGUAUGUCUGGGUGCAAAGCCCUCCACUAAAUCCACUGCUCCAAACGCUCACAGAUAAGUAGAACUCUUAGAGAUAAUCUCAUCCUCUGUAAAAUUUGGCUGACUUUAAUGCAGGUGCUAUUUUGAAGGUUUGAUAGAAAAUGCAUCCGCAGUCAAAUAAUUUGAAAGUAAUCUUUUGGUUUAGGGGAAAAAUGCUAAUGGAAAUCAGCCGAGGGGAACAUCCGGAAGCAUGCCCCGCUUCUGAAAGAAACAUUUAAGUCUACUGCUGAAUCUUGAAGACUAUAUUAUCCUGAUAGCAUUAUAGGGAAGUAAUGGUCCUCAGAUGUGUGUACGCUCUAUCGCAUUAGAAAUUGCUUUUUUUUUUUUUUUGAAUGCAAAUAGGUUUGUGUAUAGCCUAGCUAUAAGCUGCUGCUUUAAAUUUUCCGUUGCUUUAUGGGAAGCUGAAAAUUAGAUAAGCGAGCCUGGCUUUAUAUGAGGGCUCUGCCAAAAGUAGUGCCUCCUAUUUUAUUAUGGUGGCUCAUGACGUCAGAGGCAGAUGUUGGUGGUAUGGCAAUAGAAGUUGAGCCUUCCUACCAAUAUUCCCUUACAUGUUGUUGCUGUGUGACAAAUGGAAGCAGAGGGGCUGUCUGACAAACCGGUGUCUGAUGUGGAAGUGUAAAUGAAACAGAGGUGUGUCGCUGAAUUCCUCCAUGUGGAAAAAAUUGCAUCCACUGACAUUCAUGGACACUUGCUGAACAUUUCUGGAGACCAAACAGUGGAUGUGUGCACAGCAAGGUGGUGGGUGGUGCUUUCAGCACUCGCAAGAGUGAUAUUAAAGACAAUCUAUGUUCCAAAUGGCCAUGCAUGGCUGUUACACCAUGCAGUGAAGAGUGUCUUGAUCAGCUCAUCCAUGUGAAUCAGUGAUUUAUGUAAUUUAUGAUAAGGGAACUGUGUAUGCAGUUGGAAAGCAGCUUCAGUGCAUUGGAAAUGAUAGUAGCAAUUUUGGAACAUCACAAAGUUUUCUGUGAGUCCCACAGAUGCACGCACGGGAACAGGAAGAACACCAUAUGCAAGUCUGUCACGACCUAUCAAGCCAGUAUGAGGCUGAAGGUGACAGUUUCUUGGAUCACACAAUUACUGGAGAUGAGAUGUGGUAUCCCUGCUAUGAACCAGAGGCAAAACGGCAGUCUACGGAGUGGUUACAUGUGGAUUCCUCAUCGAAAACAAAGCUGAAGAAACAGCUCUCAGCAGGUAAAGUGUGAUACACAUCGUCUUUUGGGAUAGGAAAAUAGUGAUCCUUCUGGAACCUAGACAAACCAUCAACUGUGACUGAUGCAUUGUGACACUAACUAAGCUGUAGGCUCCAACUUCCAGAGUCAGGCCAGAGGAGAAGAUAGCCUUUCUCUUGCAACACAAUAACGCCAGGCCCCAUUGCAGCGUGAAGACUGCGGAGCACAUCGCCAACGUUGGCCAGACUGUCCUACCACACCCACUUACAGUUUGGAUUUGGUGCUUUCUGACUUCCAUCUGCUUAGGCUGUGUGGGCAACAUUUUCCUGGCAAGGAUGCCAUCAUAGCAGCUGUGAAGCAAUGGGUAAUUUCUGCUGGUGCAGAUUUUUACAGGCGCUGCAUGCAGGCUCUUCACUGACAAAAACGCAGAGCUAAUGGUAGUGACUAUGUUGAGAAAUAGUGUUUUGUAGCAGAAAAUUUUCUCUAUCAAUCAAGUAGUGUAGUUGUACUCUUUGUUGUAGUUUCCACGGAAAUAAGCAGGAGGUAUUACUUCUGGAACAACUUGUGUAGCUCACAAAAAAGCUCCUGACUUCCCUAUGCUCUAAUGAACUCUUAAGUACCUGGAUCAAUUUUGCUGUACUAAUAACUUCUGAAAUAGCUUGGUUUUAUUUUGCUGCGUUAGAAGCACCUUGCUCUGAUGUGGAACUCAGAUGCUUUAAUUUCCUGGAGCGCCUUAAAGAGAUACGGGCAAUUUGGACUGUAAAGAUGUGUGUAUGAUUAAGUGUGUCACCAGCAUUCUAGGAGUGGUUGAAUAUUUGCUGCUCUCUUAGGUCCUGUGAGAAAUGAAAUUAUACAAACCUUAACUAUGCUACCUUCUGCAUAAAUAAAUCAAAUUAGAUAAUAAGGUGUUGCGAUGUCCAAAAACCAAUCAAUAGCAUUUAUCACUUACUCUGUGCUCUAGAAUUCUUUUCCAGAGCUUUUGGUACAUCAACUACUUCGCAAUUUGCUUCUACAAUGUACUGAUGAAUCCCAGCUGGUACUCCCAACCAUUUCUUCCUUUAUUCCUUUCUUUACUGUAGUGACAAUAAUUAUAGUGAUUGGGUGACAAUUUUGUCUCCUGGUCAAAAUAAAAGCAUCCUUUUUUUUUCUCUUAAGAUUAAUUAAGGUUAAGAUGUGCACAUUUUUUUUGAGAGAUUGGCUGCUUGUGUUGGGUUUGUUUGUUUAUGAAGUUUUGGAUUUUUUCAAUUAAGAACUAUGUCCAUUGCAAAUGGGUAUGGCUAUGGCUUGUAGAGCGAUCAUGAAAGCUACUGGUUCAAAGAAAGGGAGAAAGCAAGAGCUUUGUGAUGCACCAAACUGCGUGGGUUAGCAUUGUGCAUAGUCUUCCCCUGGAGCACAAUGCUGAGAUGCUGGAAGCAGGUCAGGAAUGAGGAUUACAAAGCCUAGGUGUC